AGACUAUCUUAACGCCACGCUGAAUCAUCAUCAUCCCGAUGAUGUUUUGUUAGAAAUCCUAUCAAAAUUACCCAUCAGAUCCUUGCUCAGAUUCCAGUGCGUGUCGAAAUCAUGGCGAUCCCUAAUCUCCGACCCCCAAUCCCACAAGAAGCUGCCGCCGGCGAUGGCCGGCCUCUUCUCCGCCGGCGCCAGCCCCAAAUUCGUCUCCCUCGCUUCUCGAUCCUUCGUCGAUCUGGCCAAAUCCAAAAGCGGGCGAAAAUCCCAAAGCCGCCCAGGGCUUCCAUCGAGCUGGCCCUUGCUUUCAAUCCCAAUUCCGAUACCCGCUCCUUCAAGAUCGUAUCUUUCCCGUUGCCGGGGGAUGAUCCCGUGCGCCGCUGGGGCUCCGACGAGGUCGGCGUCUUCUCGUCGGAUACCGGCAGCUGGAGCACUGUCGGUGGAAUCGCCGGCCUCAGUGAGGCUGGAACAUUCUUUUAUUCACCAACAAACACUUCCGGCAGAUUACGAGCAUAUCAAUAACAUAUAUGCAUGGUAAUUAAGAUUUAUCAGAAUCCAUGUACAUCAAACUGACUCACAUUGCUGACUAUGCUCCUUCGCUGCAUCUGCAGAUCAUGGCCGUCCUUUACAAAUUCCAUCAUGGCAGAUGCUCAUUGUGCAACAAAUUUUCAGCACCAGGUUCAUCAUGGGCUCAUUGUGCAACAAAGGUAAUUUCCGGAUUAUAACAUUUUAGCCUAUUUUUUAAAGUAGUUGUGGAGGCUGAAGAUCAAAUCAUGUGAUAACAAUGUUAGUUUCCUUUCAGCUAUAUUGGAUAACGUGUUUGUCAAAAUAUUUGCAAUGUCUUAUUAAUGCUGUUUAUAAGUAACUGAUUCAUAGUCUUGUGCCUUCCAACACAAGUUAAAACUUAUUUUAGUAGAUCUCAAAUAUAGUAUCAUACUACUUGAAAUAGA